GAUGAACGCUAGCUACAGGCUUAACACAUGCAAGUCACAGGGUAACAUGAGGAAAGCUUGCUUUCCUUGAUGACGACUGGCGCACGGGUGAGUAACGCGUAUCCAACCUUCCCAUAACUACGGGAUAACCCGUUGAAAGACGGCCUAAUACCGUAUGACAUCGUUUGCUGACAUCAAAUAACGAUUAAAGGUUUAGCGGUUAUGGAUGGGGAUGCGUCUGAUUAGCUUGUUGGCGGGGUAACGGCCCACCAAGGCGACGAUCAGUAGGGGUUCUGAGAGGAAGGUCCCCCACAUUGGAACUGAGACACGGUCCAAACUCCUACGGGAGGCAGCAGUGAGGAAUAUUGGUCAAUGGGCGAGAGCCUGAACCAGCCAAGUAGCGUGCAGGAUGACGGCCCUAUGGGUUGUAAACUGCUUUUAUGUGGGGAUAAAGUGCGUGACGUGUCAUGCAUUGCAGGUACCACAUGAAUAAGGACCGGCUAAUUCCGUG
rnacentral:rRNA from 1 species